UUACGGUCAUAACAAUUUGAAACAAGUUCUCGUCCGAUCACGUAAGUUAAGCAACGUCGAGCCUGGUCAGUAGAUGGGUGAGCGCUUGGGGAUACCAGGUGCUGUAAG